rnacentral:rRNA from 1 species
ACUCAAAGGAAUAGACGGGGGCCCGCACAAGCGGCGGAGCAUGUGGAUUAAUUCGAUGCAACGCGAAGAACCUUACCUGGGCUUGACAUGCACUAGAAACACCUAGAGAUAGGUGCCCCCUUGUGGUUGGUGUACAGGUGGUGCAUGGCUGUCGUCAGCUCGUGUCGUGAGAUGUUGGGUUAAGUCCCGCAACGAGCGCAACCCUCGUUCCAUGUUGCCAGCGCGUUAUGGCGGGGACUCAUGGGAGACUGCCGGGGUCAACUCGGAGGAAGGUGGGGAUGACGUCAAGUCAUCAUGCCCCUUAUGUCCAGGGCUUCACACAUGCUACAAUGGCCGGUACAGAGGGUUGCGAGACCGUGAGGUGGAGCGAAUCCCUUAAAGCUGGUCUCAGUUCGGAUUGGGGUCUGCAACUCGACCCCAUGAAGUCGGAGUCGCUAGUAAUCGCAGAUCAGCAAUGCUGCGGUGAAUACGUUCCCGGGCCUUGUACACACCGCCCGU